rnacentral:lncRNA from 1 species
CAGUCACUUGCAUUGGCCAGCCAAGGAUCCAUGGAGGCACUCGCGGGGGGGUCAUGCAUGUCAGGGCGCGUUUCUGUCGCUGACUCGCUGGUGCAGUUGCUAGAAUCUCGAAGAGUCGAAACAUUUCAAAUUUGAUUAAAAUUAUAGGAUAAAAUAAUAAUAUUUAUUAUAUUAACUAAGUAUCAUUAAAUUCUUCAUUAAUUAUAUUUUUAAAAUAUAUCUAUUUUAUAGCAUAAAUCUUUAUAAUUUUGAUUAAAUUUGAGUCUUUAAUAUUCUUUGAAUAUCUUAUAAUUUAAAAUGGAGGGACUAGAGUUCAGUUAGUGACGCCAUUCCUAGUCCAAGUUCAAGUGGCCAGGGAGCUUGCUGCUGAGCCAGUGACCCUGUGCUGCUGGCCUGGCCUUGCCGACUGCUGUGCCAUCGGCUUCACACCCAUUGCCCCCCUAUAUAGCCAGUACUCCUAUAGUCCUAUACCUUUUACAAUCAUUUUGGCUGCUGCUGAUUUGCUUGUUAAUAUAUGCAAAUCAGAUAAAAAAAAACUACCUUCCCUCAAAAACAAAAAAGUAAAAAUUAAAAGCUACCUGCUGGUAUUGCGACACUAAAAGGUUACCAACACAUGGCGUCGGUUACACAAUGUACUCCGUCCAUUCCAAAUGCAGAUAUUUUAGGUUUGUCCUGAGUUAAGCCUAUUCGAACCAUUUUUUAAAUUAUAUUUUCUCUAUCCUAAAAUUAACUAAUUUCUCGAGUUGGCUUAAGUUAAAAUAUACAUUCGAUCAGGUUAUAUAAUUAAGUUAACUUAAAUUAAAAUGACUUACAUUUUCAAACGGAGAGGGUAGCACCUAAUAUAAAGACAUUGAAAAUAUUUCUAGGAUUGGAUCUCCUCAGCUGGAUGCUCACAUAGACGUGCUUUAGGCCCAGAUUAUCUUCAGUGUUGGAUGCUCAAAAACAUGGUAAAGAGUGUUCUGCGGUAGUGACCCUGCCAAUAAACCAUUGUCCAACACCAAACUCUAGGCAAUUAUCUUUUUAUUGCGAAACGUUUAUAAGUACAAAUGUAUGGACUCACAUAUAUAAACUACCCUUAUGAACAGGGGCGGUGGAUAGGCCAGUCCAACCUAGGCCAUGGCCACCCCUAAGUUUUUCAUCUUUCUUAAUAAGAAACACUAAUCCAUGGCAAAAUUUGAUUUCUUCAUUAAUGCCCCCCCCCUAUAUACCCAUAAGAUAUUGUUCAAGCUCCGUCACAGCUUAUGAAAUAAACAUACACACUCUACUUCUAUGAACCGGCCUCUUCAAAAGAUGGAUCACAUAUGCCUCCCUGUCGUCUAGCACGCCACUUGCCGCUGAAAGAAUAAUUAGCCGUAAGGUGUAAACACGAGCACCGAUGCUAAUCACAUUUUUUUAUGUAGAUCCGUACACUAGUACAC